rnacentral:lncRNA from 1 species
CAGGGAUUGAACCCACACCUCAUGGUUCCUAGUCAGAUUCAUUAACCACUGCACCACGACUGGAACUCCUCUAUUUAUUUUUAUUAAAAUAUAGCUGAGGAGUUUCCAUCACGGCACAGCAGAAACGAAUCUGACUAGUAUCCAUGGGAACACAGGUUUGAUCCCUGGCCUCCCUCAAAGGGUUAAGGAUCCAGCAUUACCAGGAGCUGUGGUGUAGGUUGCAGACACAGCUCGGAUCUGGUGUUGCUGUGGCUGUGACUAGGCCAGUGGCUGCAGCUCCAAUUCAGCCCCUAGCCCGGGAACCUCCAUAUGCUGCAGGUGCCUCCCUAAAAUAAAUAAAGAAAAAUAAAGUAUAGCUGAUUUACAAUGUCGUGCCAGUUUCUGUCAUACAACAAGGUGACUCAGUCAUACACAUAUAUACAUUCUUUUUUGUCUUUUUUUUUUUUUUAAUUUUUAGGGCCAUACCUGCGGCAUAUGGAGGUUCCCAGACUAGGGGACAAAUCAGAGCUGUAGCUGCCGGCCUACGUCACAGCCACAGCAAUGAGGGAUCCGAUCUACAUCAGCAAACUACACCACAGCUCAUGGCAAUGCCAGAUCCUUAACCUACUGAGCAAGGCUAGGCUUUGAACCUGUAUCCUCAUGAAUACUAGUUGGGUUCAUUAACCACUGAGCCACAGCAGGAACUCCUAUACAUUCUUUUUAAAAUAUUCUUUUCCAUUAUGGUUUAUCCAGGAGAUUGGAUAUGGUUCCCUGUUCUAUACAGUAGGACCUCAUUGCUUAUCCAUUCUAAAUGUGAUAGUUUGCAUCUACUAAUUCCAAACUCCCAGUCCAUCCCACUCCCUCUCUCCUCCCUUUGGCAACCACAAGUCUGUCUUUAUGUCUGUGAGUGUGUUUCUUUUUUGAGAUAGGUUCAUUUGUACUAUAUUUUAGAUUCCACAUUUAAGUGAUAUCAUGUAGUAUUUGUCUUUCUCUUCCUCACUUCACUUAGUAUGAGAAUCUCUAGUUGUAUUUAUGUUGCUACAAUGACACUAUUUAAUUUUUUUAUGGCCGGGUAGUAUUCCAUUGUAUAUAUGCACCAGUUCUUCUUUAUCAAUUCAUCUGUCAGUGGACAUUUAAAUUUUUCCCAUGUCUUAGCUAUUACGAAUAAAGCUAUUAUGAAUAGUGCUGCUAUGAAUAUAGAGGUGCAUAUUAUCUUUUUGAGUUAUUUUGUCUGCAUAUAUUCAAGAGUGAAAUUGCUGGAUCAUAAGGUAAUUCUAGUUUUGGUUUUUUUGAGGAAACUCCCUACUAUUUUCUACAGUGGUUGUACCAACUUACAUUCCCACCAACAGUGUGUGUAGGAGGGUUCCCUUUUCUCCACACCCUCUCCAGCAUUUGUUAUUUGUACACCUUUUUAUAAUGGCCAUUCUGACCAGUGUGAAGUGGUACCUUAUUACAUUUCUCUAAUAAUUAGAGCAUUUCUCUAAUAAUUAGAGCAUCUUUUCAUAUGCCUACUGGCCAAUAUAUGUCUUCUUUGGAGAAAUGUCUACUUAGGUCUUCUGCUUAUUUUUCAAUUGGGUUGUGUUUUUUUGUUGUUGAGUUGCAUGAGUUGUUUGUAUAUUUUGGAGAUUAAUACCUUGUUGGUUGCAUCAUUUGAAGAUAUUUUCUCCCAUUCCAUAAGUUGUCUUUGUGUGUGUGUGUGUGUGUGUGUGUGUGUUUAAAUGAUUUCCUUUGCUGUGCAAAAGCUUAUAAAUUUGAUUAGGUCCAAUUUGCUUAUUUAUUUAUUUUUUAAUUUCUAGUGCCUUGAGAGACUGACCUAAGAAAACAUUGAUAUGAUUUAUGUCAAUGUUUUGCCUAUGUUCUCUUUUAGGAGUUUUUUGGGGACUUAUCUUAUGCCUAAGUCUUUAAGGUAUUUUGAGUUUAUUUUUGUGUGUGGUGCAAGGGUAUGUUCUAAUUUCAUUGACUUAUAUGUAGCUGUCCAAGUUUCCCAACUUAAUUCUCUGAAGAGACGGUCUUUUUUCCAUUUUAUAUUCUUGUCUCCUUCACCAUGAUUAAUUGUCCUUAGAUAUGUGGGUUUAUUUCUGAGCUCUCUAUUCUCUUCCAUUUAUCCAUAUGUCUGUUUCUGUACCAAUACCACACUGUUUUGAUUACUGUGACUUUGUAGUACUGUCUAAAGUCUGGGAGAGUUAUGUCUCAUGCUUUAUUCCCUACCUCCAGAUUUUCUUUGGCAAUUCUGGGUCUUUUAUGGUGCCUUAUAAAUUUUUGGAUGCUUUUUUCUAGUUCUCUGAAAAAUGUCAUGGGUAAUUUGAUAAAGAUCAUUUUAAAUCUGUAGAUUGCUUUGAGUGGUAUUGCCAUUUUAACAAUAUUAAUUCUUCUAAUCCAUGAGCAUGGGCUAUCUCUCCAUUUAAUUAAAUCAUUUUCAGUUUCCUUUAUUAAUGUUUUAUAGUUCUUAGUGUAUAAGUCUUUCACCUCCUUGGUCAGGUUUAUUCCUAGGUUUUUUUUUUUUUUUUUUUUUUGGUGUGAUUUUAAAAGGUAUUGUUUUUAAUGUUCUUUUUCUGAUAUUUCAUAGUUAGUAUACAGAAAUUCAACAGAUUUCUGAAUGUUCAUAUUGUAUCCUGCUACUUUGCUGAAUUUAUCAGUUUGAGUAGUUUUUGUGUGGAGUCUUUAUGGUUUUCUACAUAUAGUAUCAUGUCAUCUGUAUGUAGUGUCAGUUUUACCUCUUCCCUUCCAAUUUGGAUUCCUUUUAUUUCUUUUUCUUGUCUGAUUGCCAUGGCUAGGACUUCCAUAUUAUAUUGAUUAGCAGUGAGAGUGGGCAUCCUUAUCUUAUUUCAGAUUUUAGUGAGAAGACUUUCAGCUUUUCUCUGUUGUGUAUUAUAGUUGUGGGUUUGUCAAAAAUGGCUUUUAUUAUGUUGAGAUAUUUUCCCUCCAUACCCACUUUGGUAAGAGGUUUUUUUUUUUUUUUUUAUCAUGAAUGGAUGUUGGAUUUUGUCGAAUGCUUUUUCUGCAUCUAUUGAGAUGAUCAUGUGGUUUUUGCCUUUCUUUUGUUAUGUGGUGUAUGACAUUGAUUGACUCGUGUCUAUUGAACCAUCCUGUGAACUUGGGAUGAAUCUCACUUGGUCGUAGUGUAUGAUCUUUUUUAUGUGUUGCUGGAUUCAGUUUGCUAAUAUUUUGUUGAGAAUUUUAAGCAGCGUCCUCUCUUUAAGUAUCAGUUUUCCCACCUGCAUAAUGCAGUUUUCUCACUGCAGUGUGGGUGCCUGGCUCAUAGUAAGUGAGGAAACAGAAGAGAAAUUCUCAGGUCAGUGAAGGGCAAAACCAGGAUUGAACCUCGCCCUACCUUCACUGGUCUCAGAAGCUGGGCUCUUAACCCCUAAGCUGUAAUGGAGCCAAAUGUGAAAAUGUAUAGGGUUACUUGUCUUGUUUGAACUCAGAUAAGAAGUAACUUUUUAGUAAUGCAAGCAAAUGAAACCAUAAAGGAAAAUGUACAGAUUUAACCACAUGAAUUUUUUAAACUUUUUAUAUAAAACACACUUUUAGAGGUUAAGAGGUUAAUAACAAACUAAGCAGAACAUUUGCAACAUUCUAAGAAUAUUAAAAAGUUAAGUGAUAGAGUUCCCACUGUGGCUUACUGGGUUAAGAACCUGACAUAGUGUCCGUGAAGAUGUGGGUUUGAUCCUUGGCCUUUCUCAGUAGGUUAAGGAUACACUGCUGUGGCUGUUGUGUAGGCCAGAAGCUGCAGCUCCAAUUUGACCCCAAGCAUGGGAACUUCUAUAUGCUGUAGGUGAAGCCCGUGGUUCAGUGGUUAAUGAAACAGACUAGCAUUCACGAGGAUGUGGGUUCAAUCCCUGGCCUUGCUUGGUGGGUUGAGGAUCUGGCAUUGCCAUGAGCUGUGGUGUAGGUCCCAGUUGCAACUCAGAUCCUGCACUGCUGUGGCUCUGGCAUAGGCCAGUGGCUGUGGCUCCAACUUGACACCUAGCCUGGGAACCUCCAUAUGUUGUGAGUGUGGCCCUAAAGACAAAAAAGAAAAAAAAAAAAAAAAAGAAAGAAAGAAAAGAAAAAAGGCAAGUGUUUAAAAAGAUGAGUAUUCAGUUUUUAAAAAGACAAACUAGAACACUGUAAACCAGCUAUGAUGGAAAAAAUAAAAAUAAAAAUUAUUUAAAAAUAAAGUUGAAAGAAAAAAUAAAAAGACAAAAUAGGUUCACUGAAAAUCUACAAAAUAAGAAGUACAAAUGAGCAAUAAACAUGUAGGAAAAUAUUCUAGGACUUCCCGUCAUGGCUCAGUGGUUAAUGAACCCGACUAGUUUCAGUGAGGACAUGGGUUCGAUCCUUGGCCUCACUCAGUGGGUUAAGGAUCUGGUGUUGCUGUGGCUGUGGUGUAGGCUGGCAGCUACUGCUCUGAUUUGACCCCUAGCCUGGAACUUCCAUUAUGUCCCAAACGUGCCCCCCCCCAAAAAAAAGACAAAAUAAAAGUAGGAAAAUAUUCUAAGAGAUAAAAAUUAUUAUGAAUAGUUUCUAGGCUGAGAGAAUGUCCACCCUCCUGGGCUUUAUCCUCCAGGCUCCCAGCCUGCCAUGAGCCAGGGAUGUGAGGCUUUUCAGCAUCCCCCCCAGGGGCCUCCAUCCCCUUCCCUGCUUUCCUCAGGACUCAUCAGGCUCCUGGUGUUCCCACAUCUCACUUUCCAGCUACUAGACUGUGGCUCUGCUGAGGCCUGAAGCUGAAUCACGGUGGGUUGUGUGAGGCUGAUGCCUGGGGUCAUUCAGCUGGUGAGUGAGCCUGCCUGAUGCUAACAUCCCAGGUGGCUGCACUUCACUGCUUCAUGCUCAUUUUAAGUCAUUCUCAUAAAGCAGUGAAAAACUGUUUCUUCAUGCAAAGGGAUCAAGAAAGAAAGAAAACAGCAUGAAGCUGAAAAGGAAGUCAAAGUGUGGAAGUCAAAGUGUGGAGUUUUGUUCUUGGCCGGAAGGAAGAAAAAGCUUGGGUAUAAAGCAUACCAUCGUGCAGCAGCCAUAGGAAUAGUCACAAACAGAAUAUUCUAGAAGGCUUCUGGACUCAUCCCUUUGGCAAGUUCAGGAGUCUGGGGCAUUGCCCUUCCCUGAAGGCAUUUCCUUCAGGAUUCUGUCUUUCACCCGCCUUGCUUCUCUUCACCACAAGGGCAACCCCCCAGCACUGCCUCUGAGAAGCCCGCUCUGUAGACGGCAGAGGGGGCAGGACAUCUUCGGUGCUCUUCACACCGUAUCGCCCAGCGUCACCUGGAGGUGGCCAGCAUGGACGGGUGAGCCAGACUCUCGGGGCUCAGUUCCAGCCCUGCUGCUUGCCAGCUGUGUGGUCUGGCCCCCAUUGCUCCACUUCUGUGUCUCAGUUUCUUCAUCUGCAAAAUGAGGGUAAACACAGCACCACCUCAGAGGAAUGUCUAAGCCUUAAAUGACUGAACAGAUGUGCAGCGCUUGGAUGGGGUCUGACACAGGGGAAGCACGGUGCUGUCACUCUCCUAGGAAAAUUGCCAUGCUUUAUUGUGGUUACCUGUUUAUAUGCAGUGCAAGAUU